CUGUUUCUUUGGGCUUAUUCAGUUCUUGAUUAUUGCUGCCUUCAUGGAGAGAGACCCACAGGCUUGGAUUUUCCACUCUGGUGGAGAACUCUUCACUAUCCUCUAUGCAGUUAGUAUCUAUCUCACCCGUAUUCCUCUUUGAGAUAAUUCAGUCUCCUGCUCUGAUAAGCUAAUUAAUUUCCUAAACCGAACAUUAUGGUAUACACAGCAUGAGAUUAGCCAGUUUAAUUAACUUGAACUUACUUAGGUAUUCCUGUUUUCUGUUUGGGGAACAUUAAUCAUGACAAGGAGAGCAAGUCAGAUCAUAAAUCAAAUCAAGGGUCUUAAUAUUUAUUCACUAGUCACCUUUAUUUUUAAUAACUAAUUAAAUACAGUUUUUUUUUUUUUAAUAUGAAAUCCUUUCUAACAUAAAUAUUUAUUUAUUUUUCUUGAUUUAAAGUUUCCAUGGUUAUUGUUUUUGCUUUUUUUUUAAAUUAUGAAAAAAUAGCUUGUUGAAUUUUAGUGUCUGGGAUGGAUGAUUGCUUGAAAAUAGAUUAAAAUAAUUUUUUUAAAUUUUAUUUUUAUUUUUAAUAUUAAAACGUUAAAACUAUAAAAUGACACUAAAUAAAACAUUCAAGUAAAAUAUAUUUUUUAAGAAAAAAUAAAAAAAACUACCACUCCAGUCCAGUGCGUGCUUUAAAAUCCUGUCAAGUACUCUUAGAUCAGAGAUAAAAGGGUAGCUUUGUUGUAGUCUUUGUGCAUGUGCGAACCCCAGUUGCUGAUCAGUCAAAUGCCACCUUUAUCUUUAUUGAUACACUAUAUUUUAUUAGCUUUCUCCAUAUACAUUGUAAGCUUCUCUCUAGUUGUUAUAUGAUAUGAUCCAAAAGUGGCUAUGCGCGCAAUAAUGUAGAGUGGUGGGUGUUUUGAAAAUGAAGUGAGCAAGAAACUUCUUUUUUUGUUGGAAAAUUGCAGGGAGUGGUAGCAUCAGGGAUUGCCUUCGCUGUACAGAUAUGGUGCAUUGACAGAGGUGGCCCUGUCUUUGUGGCUGUUUAUCAACCUGUUCAGACUCUUGUUGUCGCUAUUAUGGCCUCCAUUGCUUUAGGGGAAGAAUUCUAUUUAGGAGGGUAGGUCCCUUGUUUAUUUAUUUAUUAUUUUUUAAUCAUGAAUUCUAUUGGCUCCACGUCUAUCCCCAGCCAUAAGGAUUAACAAUAAUUUUUGGGAUUUUUAACUAAUCUUUGACAAGUUUAAAUGACCAAAAUAUUCUUUCCAUUUAGUGGUAUUUCUUUUGUUUAUCCCUUCCCAAAGGACAAGGCCACAAGGGUAUGUGGUAGAGCUAGGUCAGACAACUGCUGCUGAGGGCACAGGAGAACGAACAGAAUUGAUCACACUGGAGCGUGUGUAGAUUUUUAAUAUUUUUUUUUUCUGAUGGGAUAUGCUUUUUUUGUUUGUUAUGAUUUUGUGUGUACAGGAUCAUUGGGGCAGCGUUGAUCAUUAUAGGAUUGUACCUGGUCCUAUGGGGCAAAAGUGAGGAAAAGAAGUUCUUGGCUUUGGAAAAGGCUGCCAUUCAGUCCACUCCUGAGCAUGGAAUCAGCAGGGCUCAAACCCACAUCAAGACCUCCCUCACUCAGCCACUUCUCCCCUCGUCAACAGAAAAUGUUUGACCGGCAAAGCCUCUUAACUCUUAACCACACAGUUGGCCGGAGAGCCAAGAUCCCAUGAAAAAGAAAAAAAAGGCAGUACUGCUCUAUUAAUUAAGAUGGCUUGUGUGUGUAU
rnacentral:lncRNA from 1 species